GACUUCCUCACUGGAGUUGUUCCCUGCAGCUCACUCUGCCUCGCCUGCUCAACCCCUUUGGGACCCAUCCAGCCUAGAACUAUUUCACCCCCACUCCCUUUGGGGAAAGACAGAUGUCCCAAAGGAGGAAUGCUGCUCUCUCUGCUGGACUCCAGAGGACCACACAGGCAACCAGGAAACACUCUUCCAUCUCCAAGGGAUUCACAGUGUGUCUCACCACAUAAGAUCUUUUCAAGCAGCACUAAACAAUAACAAAAACAAGUUCAAAAACACCAGAUGAGCAGUAUAUUCCCCUCUUAGACAUUCAAACAUUUAAAAUGUCACAAGAUAUAAAACACCUCAACGAAUAAAAAAGUUUCACCAAAAAGACA